rnacentral:rRNA from 1 species
GUUGGCGGCGUGGAUUAGGCAUGCAAGUCGAACGAGAACUGCUGCUGUAGCAAUACAGUGGCGGGGAAAGUGGCGAAAGGGGCAGUAAUGCGUGGGUAACCAACCCUGGGGACGGGGAUAGCCAUCCUAACGGAUGGGUAAUACCCGGCGAUGUAGCGAGUUCGCAUGGUCUUGCUACCAAAUGAGUUUCGCCCUGGGACGGGCUCACGUGAUAUUAGCUUGUUGGCGGGGUAACGGCCCACCAAGGCUAAGAUGUCUAGCAGGUGUGAGAGCACGACCUGCGCCACUGGCACUGAGACACUGGCCAGACUCCUACGGGAGGCUGCAGUCGAGGAUCUUCGGCAAUGGGCGCAAGCCUGACCGAGCGACGCCGCGUGUGCGAUGAAGGCCUUCGGGUUGUGAAGCACUGUCGAGGGGGAGGAAAGCCGAAAGGUCUGACCUAUCCCUGGAGGAAGCACGGGCUAAGUUCGUGCCA